AGAGGACGACCUAUUUGGGACGAUUGUGCGGCUUCGUGCUGCAUCUCAAUUGGACCUGAUAUCAGGCAAGAUUACCCGCUGAACUUAA
rnacentral:rRNA from 1 species